UGCCCGAGGUGCCUACAUUAUUAACAUCCAAAAGAGGGGUUUAGUUUCUGCUAAACCAAUGUCUCAAAUAGCACUGCCAUUUCCCUUCUGCUACUCAUCAUGAUUCAUUUAAGGGAACCUUCAAAUACACAAAUUUGCUGAACUGAAGUAUUUGGGACAGAUGAUUCGGCAAGCUCCAAUAGUGACAGGUAAAAGAGAAUUCUCUCGAAUUUUAAUACUGUUGGAAACUCUAUUUCUCUGUAGUGCUUUGCAUAACAACUUUCUCAUUUCUGUUGCUUUCUGUUUUUCUUUUUCCAAUGAAGUGAUCUGCACUUGCCAUUUCAUGAAUUUUAUGUGUUUGUUCAGUUCCCAUAGCCACUUACAGUCUUAGCUAUCAUCUAUCCAUAAGUUUAGUAUCUUUAUCUUACAUUAAAAGCAUUAGUCAACCUUAUCAAAAAAUUAAUAGCAUUUGUUUACUAGAAUAAUUCAAGCCCUCCAGAUUUAGACGUUAACAUGUGUUCCCAUCCGAAAGUAUACCGGAGAAACUAGAGACCUUUAUUCCAGAGGCCUGUUAUUUAUAUGUCAUAUUGAAGCUUAAAUGAUACUCCCUCCGUUUCAAUUUAUGUGAAUCCAUUUGACUGGGCACGGUGUUUAAGAAAAGAGAGAAGACUUUUGAACUUGUGUAAAAUGAGGCACAUAUAUUUUGUGCGGCUAUAAAUCAUUGCAUAAAGUUAAAUUGUUUCCAAAUAGUGAAAGGACUAAAAAGGAAAUAGGUUCAAAUACAUUGAAACGGAGGGAGUAUACUAUAUGGUUUAUACACAUUUAGUCGUCUGUCUUUAGUUUCCGGCUGUGCUUUCAGGCUCGUGUGAUUUUUAAGAUAAGUCUUAUGUCAUUUCUAUUUUGUUGUAUUGGUUGUUGUGAAAAGCUUGAUUUAGAACAAUGUUGCUUCCCUAUUUUAACCGAUAACAAUUAUUGAUAUCAAAAUAAUGACACCUAAUAGUUUACAUUUCAGUAGCUAAAGGAUUUUUUUUUUUUUAUAAGGAGUAGCUAAAGGAUUCUGACUCGAACUUUAGUUGCAUUUGACUUGGUGGGGCUACAUAUUUUGCCUAAAUCCAUUAGUUGCUAAGCUAAUCCUUGCUGUAAAUUAGGGGUGUCAAAUGAGCGGGUUGAGCCGAUUUUGGGUGGCUCAAAAUGGGCUGAGUCAAUAAAUGAGCUUAUCAAAACUUACUUGGGCUAGGAUGGGCUGGGUCAAGAUGGGCUAAAAUUUGGGUCAUAGCUCAACCCGCCCAACUCUACCAAACUUUAAUUAAUGUAUUCUUUUCUUAUGAAUUAUAAUUAUUAAAUAAGACUUUUUUUCUUUUGUUAUGGUUAUAUAGGUCAAAUGGCCUCGUGGCCACUUAAACUUGUAUCAGUUUGUAAACCCGAUACAUGGACUUACACUUUUCCCAUUUCAACACUCCAACUUAACGGAAUGGAUACUAAUAAAUACAUCCAGCAGAGUGUGUAUAUCAAUUGCGCUGACAUGUACAACACGUCAUAUGCUAUAUUAUUUAUUACUUGACAUGUAUUAUUUGUGGGUCCCAUUUUUAAAUACUAAAUCAGCAAAAAAAGAAGUUACAAAUGCAAAAAGAAAAAAUGAAAAACACCUCACACUUAUCCCAGUAACCUGUACCCAAUAAUCCCUCUUCUCUGUUCACCCACCUCCCUUCCUUUCCUUACUCUUUCUUUUUUCUCAUGUCUCUUUUUCUUCAUUGUUCUCACCAUAACAAAAAAUUAAUUAAUUUUGGAAUUUCACAAAAAAAAAUCAAUAGAAAUUCAUAAUUUUGAAAUAGUGGAGGUCGCCCAAUACCAUUGCAAAUAUCUGCCCUUUUUUGCUGCUAUUUUAGCGAAGAUUAAAUCGAUGAUAGAACAACGACAAAGUUCAGACUAUCUUCCGACCACCGGUGGUUGAGGGAGGUUAGGACGGAAAAGGUGGGUGGAGACUAGCAAAUGAAAGAAAAUAUUAUUGAAGGGGAAGAGGAAGGGAAAAAGAAAUGGAGAAAGGGGAGGGGGUGGGAAAUUAGUAUAGAAAAUUAAAAAAAUUACAGAAAAGGGGUGGGAGUUUGCUGGGGGAGACGAGAGAGGUGGGAGGGCAGGGGAUAAGAGAAGGGGAGAGGGAAAGGUCUUUUUUCCUUUUCCUUUUUUCUUUCUUUCUUAUUUAUAUUUUAUUCUAAUUGUAAUAUUUUUUUAAUAUAAAAAACACUGUCCACGCACCUUGGCAGCGUGAUUUGCACACAAUUUAGCCAUGUCAGUUGCACCACUUUUACAUAUACAUGGUCAACGGUCAACGGUGUUUAUUAGUACCAAUUUUGUCAAGUUGGAGUGUUCAAAUGGGAAAAGUGUAAGUUCAUGCUAUACAAGUUUAAGUGGCCAUGAGGCCAUUUGGCCUUAUAUAUAACAUAUCAAACAAAAAAAAGUUAUUUCUAAGAUAAUUUGGGCUAAAAGUUAGCCCAACUUUAAAUGGGUUGAGAUGCAUUAGGUCAAGAUGGGUUGAGUUUUAUAAAUGGGUGAAUCAAUAACCAGUCCAACCUUGGGCGGAUUGGGUGAGUCAUUUGGGCCUGGGCCAAAUUUGACAGCCUUCAAUCUUAUAAUAAUUCAGGUAUUGUAUUCUUGAGAUUAGCUAUUUCUUCCUCUUCCCCUUCCACUAUUCAUUUUUCCAUGAAAUGAUUCCUCUUGCAUGGGGGAGUGUAUAUCAAAAAUUAAAAGAACAUUAUUUGAUUCUAAGCGUGAAAUUUGAUAAUAAUUUUGCUACAGAAGAUUGAGAGGAACUAUCUGAAUAUCAACGGAAGAAAAGUCCUAUCUCAGAUUUGUAUAGGACGGUGUAAAAUUAAUUAGUUUAUUACUAUGGAUUUUGACAUUUUUUUGCCCUUGAAAAUGGCAUAAGAGAAACAUUUGUUCUAUUGUUAAUUCAUUCUUUUUUAGGUUGAACAAUUUUCUUGUGGUUUUCUUUAUAUUGCCCGGACUCUCCGAAAAUAUCUUUGGGUGCUUGUCGGAUCUUCUAAAAGUAGUAUAUUUUUGGAGGACGCGGCAUUAUUUUGGAGAGUCCGCGGAACAAUAAGGUUUUCUAAUGUUAGUCUAGAUCAAACUAAUCAAAUCGGGUCAAAAUCUGACUAUUUUUCAAAAACUCAACUCCUCAGAAAUCCAAUACAGCUUCUACUUUCAGCUACAGCGUACUGAUUCUGGUAAGUUUUGAUUGAAAACUGAGACUUAUAUUUUUAAGUUUACAACUCUUUACAAAUCCAAUCAAGUUUCUAAUUUGAGCUACAGUAUACUGAUUUUGGUGACUUUUGAUUGAAUAUAGAUAUUUCGAGAAUGGAUGCAACACUGAACGAUCAGAAA
rnacentral:lncRNA from 1 species